CCAUGGAGACCUGUGAAUUAAAAGAGUCUGUGCUGCUUUCUUGGCUAAUGGAUGUGUUCCUGGCACUGCAGGCUUACCUCCACGUCCCACAGGUGUUUGCGUUGCAGGCUGGGAGUCCAGGUUGACUUCUGUUGUUUUUUUCUCUUUCAAGUUUUAAAGAGCUGGCAGAACAUUUAUUCAGUUGUGCAAGCUCCAUUCAGAGUAUUUCUCAGAUCCUGGGCACGGGGCUCAUUUUUCAUGCUUUGGCAGCUGAGGUAAAUCAAUAAGGCAGCUGGAGGUCACCUGCAGUCAAUCAGUAACCAGUGCUGGCAAAGAGAAAACACUAAAUAGUUGGUAUCAAAGCACAGGCUCUAAACUCAGAGUUCUCACUCGGGGUGACAUUUUCACAGCCUUGCCUUCAGCAGCCUGGCCCCAUGCAUGCUGGCUGUGUUCUCCUGGUCACUAUCUGUAUGGGAGUUUUGUGGCACAUGCCCGCUGCAGGCGUCACAGCAAAGCAGGACACGAGGCGCUCGGGGUGGAGGUAGUGGCUCUGGUGGUGCAAGGUGCAAGGAGCUAAUUUGGUGACAGCUAAAUCACUCCUCCUUUGUGCAGGAAGUCACUAGGUGUUGGCCGAAGUCAUGCAUGCCCUCGGUCACACCCAGCUCCCUCAGGAACAGGGACCUGUGGCCAGCAGGUGACUCUCACAGGGGUCCCUAAUUCCCUUCAAAACAAAUAAGCACUAGGCUCUUAAAUCCCUCUGCUGCCUGGGGCACGUUCCAGUGGUGUCCCUGCUCUGUUUGCUCCUGCUUCUGGAGCUGGUUGGCCAUAAACCCCACCUGAGCUCACCUCAAGCCUCUGCCAUUACAACAUGCUCUAUUUUCUCUUCCCUUUGAGCUCAGCUGCUCUGGGCUCUGUGGGACGCAGCAUCCUGUCUCUGAUCACUCAUCUGGCCAGCUCCUUGUGUGUGCCCACAUGGGGCCCUCAUGCCCACUCCACCAGCUGCCGACAGCAGUAGGCCUUGUGCCAACCUGGAGGUGCUCUGGCAGCCCCCGUGCAGAAUCUACACACUGUCACAUGCUGCUGCUGCUCUGUGCCCCAUUCACAGAGCUGGGCUGCAGAGAUGCUUCCACAGGAGCCCGGGACUCACUCUCAGAUCUAUGUGCUGGAUGGGUUGCACUGAGCUCCAGCUACAGGGUUUGCAGGUUCAUGUGCUGCACUUUUUGCUGCAGACUGACAGGUGGGCAUGCUCUGCUGGUGCCAGCAGCUUGGCACUCUCCUCCUGCUACCCUGAUCCAUCCCAGAACCCUGGGGAGCUCCUGCUGGUCUCAGACCUAUCUGAUGUCUCCCUGUUCCCGGGCUGGUGUCUGCAGGAAGUGCUGCUUGUCUGGCGUCCACACCUGGAGGAGAGCUCUGACAACAGCUGGUCACCACGGCUCGCUGGCUUUGGAGGUGGCUUCCUUCUGCCAGCUCUUCCCUGGAGCCUCAGACAAGUGCUCAAGGUCCUUUCAGCCUGCUGCGCUGCAAGGAGAGGAGUCAAGGAGGCUUUUCCCCUCCUCUUUCUCUUCUCACAGGUUCAUUUCAAACUUUAACUGCUGGCAUUUCCUUCCAGCUUUCUGACAGCCUCGAGAGAUGCACCCCAGAGAGCAGCACAGACAACUCAGUGCAUGGGCAACACUCAAGGGACUUUCUGCUCAGGAGAUGCAUAGUCACACGGGCUGCUGGACCACUGACCCCACCACCCCCCUUCUGCACUCCCCAGAAUGCCUCAGGACAAGCCUCUGAGAAACAAGACCGGCUGGAAGGACUUAUCCUAUGGCUGGAGCAGUAAUCCUCCUUAUUUGCCACACAAGUGCUCUGUGCGUCCACCCACAGGUUGGGGUUCAUGUCAUUGGGGCAUAUCCCAGCGUGGGAAUAGCGGAUGGGAGGCAGAGCUCCCCCUUUCAGAGAGACCUCCAGAAGCAAGAGGACACUGCUCUUCCCCAGCAAGAUCCACAUCCACCGAGUGAGCAGCAUCCACACCAUCUCAGACCUUCUCCAGGGCAGUGGCAGUGGCCGAGCUGCAGGCAGUUCCUGUCUGCUUUGCUUUUGGUAAGCCUUCAAUUUCUGAGGAACCCAAAGGCACCUGACCCCGGUAAAGACUUCAGCAAGCUCCUCCGCUGCUGCCGCUGACAGAGCAGCUUGGUCUGGACCUCAUUGGAUGAAAGGUCCAAGGAAGCUACCCCUUAUUUUAAGAGAAACGCCAAGAGCCCGAGCAGAGUUAGCUCUAUUUAUACCCUGCCUCUGUUAACAAGUCAGAAAAAGUAAACUUGAUUUCUUUGACAGGCACACGCUUCCUAUGUCCUGGUGGCAGUCAGACAGAUUUGUUGCAAGGAAAAAAAAAAAAGCUGGAAAGAGUUCAAAAGGCUGGAACUGGCACGGUGGGACCCCUGCAUGUUCCUGAACGCAGGGAGGCCUUCUUAACCCCUUUAGACCUAAAGUACUUCCCUGUGCUAAGAAUGGCAUUUACUGCUGAAAGGGUGCUUGUCUAAACAGCAGGGACCCGGGACAGGGGAUUUCCCCACGGCAAGGGGCUGCACAAUCACUGCCGCAAGGGACAAGUAAUAGGAUUGAAGCAGUUAAAGCUGGAAUAUCAUAUUUUUAACAAAGGAAGUAGGGAAGAAAUAACUCCUUUAAACUCGGGCUGACAAAGCAGUUUGUCUUCCUAACUCCUGCCGGGGCUCCUCCGGGCUUUAUUCUCCUCUCUGGUGGGGAGGUUCCCAGGAUGCUGGGUUUAACGCUCCCUCCAGCUCCACCAGCAAGACGUUAAAAGUGUCCCUGAAUUCCUCCACAUUUCCUGACAGCCAGGUCCCAUUGUACAGUGCAUUGCUGACCCCUUUAACAGCCACAACAACAAAAAAAAAAAUAGUAGAAGUUCAACUCUAUGGAAACCUGCCUAAAGGAAUGUACAGCAUUUCUACAUUGGGGGGCGGGGGGGAAUGCAGCCAGGCUCGGCUCCUCGUUCCCUGCUUAUUACAGCAAGGGGCUGAUCCUGCUUGUGCUGAACACGCGUCAAAGCCGAGCCGCAGCAGUCAGACCUGCUCAGCACCUUCCAGGAUUAGAGUCUUUGGGCUGAAUUCUGGGCUAGCCUGGACGCAUCCUGCACGUUACUCAGUGCCCCCUGCGAGGAGCAGAGGAGUUUCCAUCCCAGGUGGGGCCCAGCAGGGCAGGAGCAGCUGCUCUGCCUCGGCAGCGGGGACGGCUGUGCCCCUGCGCUGUGCCCAGCACUGCAGAGCCGUCGGACCUGGUGUGAGCAGCCUUUAUCCGUGCACAGUUUUCCUCUCGGGUUUGUUACAGCAGGGUUGUUCCUCACGGCCGAGUACACCCAGCAGCGAACUGGGCCACCAGGCCAGCAGUGCCCCAGGCCACGGGACUGCCGCUCCUGCCCCGGUGCAGGGCAGCAGAGU